CUGCCUGGUAGUGGGGGACGAACGUUUCGAAAGGAACGCUAAUACCGCAUACGUCCUACGGGAGAAAGCAGGGACCUUCGGGCCUUGCGCUAUCAGAUGAGCCUAGGUCGGAUUAGCUAGUUGGUGAGGUAAUGGCUCACCAAGGCGACGAUCCGUAACUGGUCUGAGAGGAUGAUCAGUCACACUGGAACUGAGACACGGUCCAGACUCCUACGGGAGGCAGCAGAA
rnacentral:rRNA from 1 species